rnacentral:rRNA from 1 species
CCUACGGGUGGCUGCAGUGGGGAAUAUUGCACAAUGGGCGCAAGCCUGAUGCAGCGACGCCGCGUGAGGGAUGACGGCCUUCGGGUUGUAAACCUCUGUUAGCAGGGAAGAAGAGAGAUUGACGGUACCUGCAGAGAAAGCGCCGGCUAACUACGUGCCAGCAGCCGCGGUAAUACGUAGGGCGCGAGCGUUGUCCGGAAUUAUUGGGCGUAAAGAGCUUGUAGGCGGUUUGUCGCGUCUGCUGUGAAAGGCCGGAGCUUAACUCCGUGUAUUGCAGUGGGUACGGGCAGACUAGAGUGCAGUAGGGGAGACUGGAAUUCCUGGUGUAGCGGUGGAAUGCGCAGAUAUCAGGAGGAACACCGAUGGCGAAGGCAGGUCUCUGGGCUGUAACUGACGCUGAGAAGCGAAAGCAUGGGGAGCGAACAGGAUUAGAUACCCUUGUAGUC